rnacentral:rRNA from 1 species
GACGAACGCUGGCGUGUGCCUAAUACAUGCAAGUAGAACGCUGAAGGAAGGAGCUUGCUCUUUCCGGAUGAGUUACGAACGGGUGAGUAACGCGUAGGUAACCUGCCUGGUAGCGGGGGAUAACUAUUGGAAACGAUAGCUAAUACCGCAUAAGAGUAGAUGUUGCAUGACAUUUGCUUAAAAGGUGCAAUUGCAUCACUACCAGAUGGACCUGCGUUGUAUUAGCUAGUUGGUGGGGUAACGGCUCACCAAGGCGACGAUACAUAGCCGACCUGAGAGGGUGAUCGGCCACACUGGGACUGAGACACGGCCCAGACUCCUACGGGAGGCAGCAGUAGGGAAUCUUCGGCAAUGGACGGAAGUCUGACCGAGCAACGCCGCGUGAGUGAAGAAGGUUUUCGGAUCGUAAAGCUCUGUUGUAAGAGAAGAACGAGUGUGAGAGUGGAAAGUUCACACUGUGACGGUAUCUUACCAGAAAGGGACGGCUAACUACGUGCCAGCAGCCGCGGUAAUACGUAGGUCCCGAGCGUUGUCCGGAUUUAUUGGGCGUAAAGCGAGCGCAGGCGGUUAGAUAAGUCUGAAGUUAAAGGCUGUGGCUUAACCAUAGUACGCUUUGGAAACUGUUUAACUUGAGUGCAAGAGGGGAGAGUGGAAUUCCAUGUGUAGCGG